CAAAAAUUGUUACAUGAAAAGGCAGCAAUACCUGCUGCUCUGAGUCUUUAUCGUAUAUUUAUCAGUUCCUUACACUUAAAAUAUGGUUUAAUCUCUUUCUAUUCGAGGUCAAAAGUGAGACUUAUAUUGCCAUUUUCUAUUAAAUGAUCAUUAAAUGUAAGUCCUAAAUACACAAUCCGUGAAAAGGAGAAACCAUAAAUAAACCGACAAUCAUAAAAAAAAAAAAACUCAAUGCAAGCUCAUAAUGUAAAUUUUUGAAAAAAAAACACACUUAGAAAACAAUUUACCGACAAUCAUAGAAAAAAAACUUAAUACAAGCCCAAUUAAUAAUGAACACAAUAAGUAUUCAAUUUUUAAUGAUCUAUACAAAUUAUGAAUAUAAGACGAAGUCGAUCAUGAUUAACGAUAAACAAACAAAUUAAUUAUUUUUUUCUACACAUUAAUUAAUUUUAUAUAUUUUGUAAAUAGUAUUUUCGGAAAUAGUGUGGACACCUGUGGUGUAACAACUUCUUGUGUACCAGGUGUCAAAUAAAACUCUUCAGUUUUAACAGGUUGUGAUUUACCUGACCAUCGAAUAAUUCAAGCCUAAUAUACAUGUUACACUGUGAAAUUAUGUCUCCGAGACAGGUGUAUAUUUAAUAGAAACCCAUUGUGAAAGUAUCAAAUAAAAUGAACUCUGAUACAAUUUAUUAAGUGUUAAUUAUUUAAUAUUGUUUUUUUUUAAUUCAAUAUCAAAUUAUGUCU
rnacentral:lncRNA from 1 species